AGUGAACGCUGGCGGUAGGCCUAACACAUGCAAGUCGAACGGCAGCACAGUAAGAGCUUGCUCUUACGGGUGACGAGUGGCGGACGGGUGAGGAAUACAUCGGAAUCUACUUUUUCGUGGGGGAUAACGUAGGGAAACUUACGCUAGUACCGCAUACGACCUACGGGUGAAAGCAGGGGAUCUUCGGACCUUGCGCGAUUGAAUGAGCCGAUGUCGGAUUAGCUAGUUGGCGGGGUAAAGGCCCACCAAGGCGACGAUCCGUAGCUGGUCUGAGAGGAUGAUCAGCCACACUGGAACUGAGACACGGUCCAGACUCCUACGGGAGGCAGCAGUGGGGAAUAUUGGACAAUGGGCGCAAGCCUGAUCCAGCCAUACCGCGUGGGUGAAGAAGGCCUUCGGGUUGUAAAGCCCUUUUGUUGGGAAAGAAAAGCAGCAGGUUAAUACCCCGCUGUUCUGACGGUACCCAAAGAAUAAGCACCGGCUAACUUCGUG
rnacentral:rRNA from 1 species